AACUUUUUUUUUUUUAGGGAAGCACGAAGAUACCCUCAACAGGCUGGAUCUAGAAAUGCGCACUUAUCACACACAAUGUUUCAAAAACAACUUUUACCUCUGGCUUGUCUUCGAGCAUUUUUUCUGUCCUUUCUUUCGUCGGUGCCUGGAAAGACCCCCCCUUCUUCACACGUCAUCGUCUGUACGCAUGCUUGAGCUGUUUUACCUGUUGAACUCAUCGCACUCUUUGUUUCGAGCUCUUCUGGAGUUAGAUGGAUAGAUGGGCAGUGAGGCUCAUUACAAUGCUUGGUCUUGGCAUAGGAUGAACAAAUUUUUUCCAACUGGUUGUCAACGGCCAACGGUGGUGGAAAAGUGUUUGGUAUCUGAUUGGUUCUUUGAUGAUUCCACACAAAAUUUUGAUAAGCACAAGUGACAAAAUCUGUUUCGCCAGCUUCGCUUUGUGUUCGGUGAAUAUUUUUCACAUAAGUGGUUCUAUUCAAAGCUGAGCAGUUUUCACUGAACAGCAUGACACUUUUGCAUCCCUUUUUGUGAACCAGUAAAUAGCACCCGGGUACCAAGGUGUGGCAACGCUUCAAAACUAGGUACAAAAAAUGUAAUGAAAUUCGAGGAUUAAAUGCGAUCUUAUCACAGAGAUCUUUUUGACUCAGCACGUUGACGUGGCUUAGUUUGAGUUCGUAUGGAUCCACCCAUGUUACGAGCGCCUCAGAAUUUCCUGAGAUGAGUAAGCGCGUCCACAAUCGAGACAAUUCUGUCUGAGUCAAUUCUUCUCUGUAUUGAUCGCCGGGGAUGUAUUGUAUUUUAGAGAAAAUGACCGUCGACCUUUGCUGUACCUCUGACUCGAAUUCGGACGUGAGACGGUACUCAGAUGUCGUGGGCGAUGACCGUGGCGCCAAACUGUCGAUCUUGUGCCGAACUAGCAAAACCAAGUCAUCGUUCAAGACCCAUUCGGCGUAGUUGAGGUUGUCCGUGCCUGUCCUCAAAUCAGGAUACUCAUAGAAGUGGCUGUCUUUAGAUGGAAGGAUUUUAGCAGGUUGGUAAACGUCUCAGGUACAAGAGGUUUAUCUAAGAAAACGACUUGGCGAGUGGUGUGGCGAGACUCGCAAUUUGUAUCUAGGACAGAAACGGUAUCUACGAUGACAGGGAUUUCCCAUGUGAUAUUCAUAUCUGAACACAUAAGAGUUUGUAGCGUGGAAGAAGAAAGUGCACAUGUGAAUUUCCCUUGAUUGCCCAUAUUGCGGAUGUUAGCGUCUCUAGAUACUACAGGGUGUAUCUUUUUGAUGAAUUUAGAUCCGCUCGAUGGGAACUCGAAUGAUUGGUUGGUCCAAUAGGGUAUAUAGUCGUAAGUAUUUGGCGUUAUCUUGAACCCUGGCAGUGGGUAUUGCUCGAUAGAAAAUGCAUAUCCUAUAGACUGCAUGCUAUGGCUGCACUUAAGAUUCAAAUGACACAGCGCUGUUGAAUUUGGUGUUGAUAAAUGGAUGUCAGAACUUGGCAAAAGAGCGUAGACAGGUGGAUAGCACAUUUUUGUUUUGGCGCGAAUGAUGACUUGGAUCAGCUUUGCGAUCUUGGUGGGAAGCAUAGUGUAAUAUAUUCCAUAAUGCUUGAGAAUUUCUUGUUUAAUCUGAGAUAAAUAGCGAUGUUGUUCCAUACGCACGCGUUGUAGUAGACUCAAGUCGGCUGGUUUGCUAUUGGAAGCUGAA